GACCGCCUGGGAACGCCUGGGAAUGUCGCUGCCCGCUCCGGGAGCGGGGGCUGCUGUCAGCAGGGUCCCUGCGGCCCGCGGGUGGGAUUUCAGCCCGUUGUGUCUCGCUGAGCUCUCCCUGUGCCGAUCGCAGCCGUGAGGAACGUGUCUUGGCGGGAUCAGCCCGGCGGGUCCCGCAGCCCCGGCCGGGAACGGACCCUCUGGCCGGAACCGGAGCCCUGAACAAGCGGGCACAGCCACGGUCAGGGGAAGAACGGCCCUGAUUUUAUCCUGCGUGUCCCUUGGAUGACUUGGUUGAUUUUUGUCACCUUUGAUGAUUUACUUCUGUUUCGGUACAGCUUUGUGAUGCAAGCAGCAGUGAGAGUGAGUGCUCAGCUCUGCCGUGUAACAAGUGUCAGUAGGA